GACGAACGCUGGCGGCGUGCUUAACACAUGCAAGUCGAGCGGGAAACUUCGGUUUCCAGCGGCGGACGGGUGAGUAACACGUGGGCAACCUGCCUCACAAUGAGGGAUAGCCCUCCGAAAGGAGGAUUAAUACCUCAUAACACAAGAGAAACGCAUGUUUACCUUGCCAAAGAAUUUCGUUGUGAGAUGGGCCCGCGGCGCAUUAGCUUGUUGGUGAGGUAACGGCUCACCAAGGCUUCGAUGCGGAGCCGACCUGAGAGGGUGAUCGGCCACAUUGGAACUGAGACACGGUCCAGACUCCUACGGGAGGCAGCAGUGGGGAAUAUUGCACAAUGGAGGAAACUCUGAUGCAGCAACGCCGCGUGAGUGAUGAAGGUCUUCGGAUUGUAAAGCUCUGUCUUCUGGGACGAUAAUGACGGUACCAGAGGAGGAAGCCACGGCUAACUACGUGCCAGCCGCCGCUGUAACAC
rnacentral:rRNA from 1 species